rnacentral:rRNA from 1 species
CCUACGGGGGGCAGCAGUGGGGAAUAUUGCACAAUGGGGGAAACCCUGAUGCAGCAACGCCGCGUGAGUGAAGAAGUAUUUCGGUAUGUAAAGCUCUAUCAGCAGGGAAGAAAAUGACGGUACCUGAGUAAGAAGCCCCGGCUAACUACGUGCCAGCAGCCGCGGUAAUACGUAGGGGGCAAGCGUUAUCCGGAUUUACUGGGUGUAAAGGGGGCGCAGACGGCGAUGCAAGCCAGGAGUGAAAGCCCGCGGCCCAACCGCGGGACUGCAUUGGGAACUGGCGCGCUGGAGUGCCGGAGGGGGAG